GCGUGCGACCUGCGGCAACUUCACGUCGGCGAAGGAGUGGCGGUAGUGGCAAUAUCAUUCAAAAGAGUCGAUUCACGUCCGAAGAUGCUCUCAUAUCUCAGUUCGAUCCUAGACGACGAAUUAUUAGAUAGUUCAAGCAGUUCCAGCGAUGAAGAGAUAAUGACAAUAUUAAUGAAAUGUGAAAAUAUUCCAAAAAUGAAAAAUAUGAUGGAAAUUAUUAAUGAAUAAUCUGACAAGGAGGUAUGCUAUACGAAAUUUCAACAUAUCUUAAAUAUUUGUUAUUUUAGAUUUAAAACAUCUGUUAUUAAUUUCAGCAACAUUUUUGUUUGAAACGAAGCACGUUCGAUAUAUUAAAUAAUAUGUAUUUAAAUUUGAAAAUUUAUAAUACAACAACAGAGCAUAGUGGUAGCAUGGUGGAGCGUAAAACAAUAAAUAGUGAUGUACAACUAUUAGCCCUCUUAUGGUUUGCAGGAACCAAAUGUGUGAUACGGGAUAUUAUAUCUAGAUUUAAUGUAGCAGAAUCUACUUUUCAUUCUAUCAUAACAAAUGUUAUGAAAUAUUUUAAUUAUAUUGCUCCAAUAAUGAAGAUGCUAGAUACAGAAGAUAAAAAAAGAUUAGUUGCUCGUGAAUUUAAAAAUGUGCGUAAUUUUUUUAUGUUUAAAAAAAUGCAUAACAAUUAACUAAUAAUUUAUCAGUGGUAGUAAUCAAUAGAUUAAUCAACUAAUAAUUAUCAAUAUAUAGCAAUAGUUAUAGUCACAGAUAUCUAUCUAACAACUAGAUCGCUACCUUCGGCUGAAUAGCUGUGUCCGGCAGGAUAUCCAGAUUCGGCCAUCUUACCCAACAAGAAAAUGGCGUCUACGCGUAGAUUAGCUUAGUGCGUAUGUGUUUGACAGGUUUGACAACUGAGCCGGUUGACCGCUGAGCACCGUUGAGCAUAUUAAUUGUGAUUAUCGAGUGUGUUUUUUCGAUAUCGUGUCAUAAUGCCAAGCAAGAGCGGCAUUAAAGCGGCAUUGGAAUGGCCAUUUUGUUGUAGGUAACAUGACUGAAACCGGAUAUCCUUCCUGCCUCAAUACUGUCAUAUAGGCCGGUAUUCAUAGUCGAGUCUUAUUUCAAGAUUGUCUUAAGCAACGUCUUAAGAUGC